rnacentral:rRNA from 1 species
UCUGCCCUCAGGAGGGGGACAACAGCUGGAAACGGCUGCUAAUACCCCAUAUGCCGCGAGGUGAAAUGAAUUUCGCCUGAGGAUGAGCUCGCGUCUGAUUAGCUAGUUGGUGUAGGUAAUGGCUCACCAAGGCAUCGAUCAGUAGCUGGUCUGAGAGGAUGAUCAGCCACACUGGGACUGAGACACGGCCCAGACUCCUACGGGAGGCAGCAGUGGGGAAUCUUGGACAAUGGGCGAAAGCCUGACGGAGCAACGCCGCGUGAGGGAUGAAGGCCUCUGGGCUGUAAACCUCUUUUAUCAAGGAAGAAGAUCUGACGGUACUUGAUGAAUAAGCCACGGCUAAUUCCGUG